UACGUAGGGUGCGAGCGUUAAUCGGAAUUACUGGGCGUAAAGCGUGCGCAGGCGGUUCGUUAUGUCCGAUGUGAAAUCCCCGGGCUUUAACCUGGGAAUGGCAUUUGGGACUGCAAGGCUGGAGUGUGGCAGAGGAGACUGGAAUUCCUGGUGUAGCAGUGAAAUGCGUAGAUAUCAGGAGGAACACCUGCGGUGUAGACGGCUUACUGGACCAUAACUGACGCUGAGGCACGAAAGUGUGGGGAUCAAACAGG
rnacentral:rRNA from 1 species